rnacentral:rRNA from 1 species
GACGAACGCUGGCGGCGUGCUUAACACAUGCAAGUCGAGCGAUGAAGUUCCUUCGGGAAUGGAUUAGCGGCGGACGGGUGAGUAACACGUGGGUAACCUGCCUCAUAGAGGGGAAUAGCCUUCCGAGAGGAAGAUUAAUACCGCAUAAGAUUGUAGUGUCGCAUGAUACAGCAAUUAAAGGAGUAAUCCGCUAUGAGAUGGACCCGCGUCGCAUUAGCUAGUUGGUGAGGUAACGGCUCACCAAGGCGACGAUGCGUAGCCGACCUGAGAGGGUGAUCGGCCACAUUGGGACUGAGACACGGCCCAGACUCCUACGGGAGGCAGCAGUGGGGAAUAUUGCACAAUGGGGGAAACCCUGAUGCAGCAACGCCGCGUGAGUGAUGACGGUCUUCGGAUUGUAAAGCUCUGUCUUCAGGGACGAUAAUGACGGUACCUGAGGAGGAAGCCACGGCUAACUACGUGCCAGCCGCCGCCGUAAGAC